rnacentral:rRNA from 1 species
AUUGAACGCUGGCGGCAGGCCUAACACAUGCAAGUCGAGCGGAUGAAGGGAGCUUGCUCCUGGAUUCAGCGUCGGACGGGUGAGUAAUGCCUAGGAAUCUGCCUGGUAGUGGGGGAUAACGUCCGGAAACGGGCGCUAAUACCGCAUACGUCCUGAGGGAGAAAGUGGGGGAUCUUCGGACCUCACGCUAUCAGAUGAGCCUAGGUCGGAUUAGCUAGUUGGUGGGGUAAAGGCCUACCAAGGCGACGAUCCGUAACUGGUCUGAGAGGAUGAUCAGUCACACUGGAACUGAGACACGGUCCAGACUACUAAGGGAGGCAGCAGUGGGGAAUAUUGGACAAUGGGCGAAAGCCUGAUCCAGCCAUGCCGCGUGUGUGAAGAAGGUCUUCGGAUUGUAAAGCACUUUAAGUUGGGAGGAAGGGCAGUAAGUUAAUACCUUGCUGUUUUGACGUUACCAACAGAAUAAGCACCGGCUAACUUCGUG